rnacentral:rRNA from 5 species
AGACCCGAAACCCGGUGAUCUAGCCAUGGGCAGGUUGAAGGUUGGGUAACACUAACUGGAGGACCGAACCGACUAAUGUUGAAAAAUUAGCGGAUGACCUGUGGCUGGGGGUGAAAGGCCAAUCAAACCGGGAGAUAGCUGGUUCUCCCCGAAAGCUAUUUAGGUAGCGCCUCGUGAAUUCAUCUCCGGGGGUAGAGCACUGUUUCGGCUAGGGGGCCAUCCCGGCUUACCAACCCGAUGCAAACUGCGAAUACCGGAGAAUGUUAUCACGGGAGACACACGGCGGGUGCUAACGUCCGUCGUGAAGAGGGAAACAACCCAGACCGCCAGCUAAGGUCCCAAAGUCAUGGUUAAGUGGGAAACGAUGUGGGAAGGCCCAGACAGCCAGGAUGUUGGCUUAGAAGCAGCCAUCAUUUAAAGAAAGCGUAAUAGCUCACUGGUCGAGUCGGCCUGCGCGGAAGAUGUAACGGGGCUAAACCAUGCACCGAAGCUGCGGCAGCGACACUGUGUGUUGUUGGGUAGGGGAGCGUUCUGUAAGCCUGU